CUUUUGUAUAGAACGACCGGUGAUUGUUAAGUCUGAUGUUGAAAUUAGUUUCUGUUUCACCAACAUACUGCAGCUUGCAAGUUCCGCAAGUAAUAAUAUAAAUACUAUUUUCCGUUUUGCAAUUAGAUGUAACAUAGAUGUUGUAUCGCUGCUUUGUUACUGUGCUGCUGAAAGAGUGGUCAGUGUUAGCGGCUUUACAGCACUUACAAUUGC
rnacentral:lncRNA from 1 species